rnacentral:rRNA from 1 species
UACGUAGGGUGCAAGCGUUGUCCGGAAUUAUUGGGCGUAAAGAGCUCGUAGGCGGUGUGUCACGUCGGCCGUGAAAACCUGCAGCUUAACUGUGGGCGUGCGGUCGAUACGGGCAUCACUGGAGUUCGGCAGGGGAGACUGGAAUUCCUGGUGUAGCGGUGAAAUGCGCAGAUAUCAGGAGGAACACCAAUGGCGAAGGCAGCACUCUGGGACGUGACUGGACGCUGAGACGCGAAAGCGUGGGGAGCAAACAGG